GUAGGGAGCGAGCGUUGUCCGGAAUUACUGGGCGUAAAGAGCUCGUAGGCGGGACCGUAAGUCCGAGAGGAAAUCUCAAGGCUCAACUUUGGGGCUUUCUUGGAUACUGCGGUUCUUGAGGAUGAGAGAGGUAAGCAGAAUUCCCGGUGUAGCGGUGAAAUGCGUAGAUAUCGGGAGGAAUACCAGUGGCGAAGGCGGCUUACUGGCUCAUUCCUGACGCUGAGGAGCGAAAGCGUGGGGAGCAAACGGGAUUAGAUACCCCGGUAGUCCACGCCGUAAACGAUGGAUACUAGGUGUAGGAGGUAUCGACCCCUUCUGUGCCGACGUUAACACAUUAAGUAUCCCGCCUGGGGAGUACGGUCGCAAGGCUG
rnacentral:rRNA from 1 species